AGUGAACGCUGGCGGUAGGCCUAACACAUGCAAGUCGAACGGCAGCACAGUAAGAGCUUGCUCUUACGGGUGGCGAGUGGCGGACGGGUGAGGAAUACAUCGGAAUCUACUUUUUCGUGGGGGAUAACGUAGGGAAACUUACGCUAAUACCGCAUACGACCUACGGGUGAAAGCAGGGGAUCUUCGGACCUUGCGCGAUUGAAUGAGCCGAUGUCGGAUUAGCUAGUUGGCGGGGUAAAGGCCCACCAAGGCGACGAUCCGUAGCUGGUCUGAGAGGAUGGAUCGGCCAACUGGGACCUGGAACAGGGUCCAGCCCCCUAGGGGAGGCAGCGGGGGGGAAUAUGGACAAUGGGCGCAAGCCUGAUCCAGCCAUACCGCGUGGGUGAAGAAGGCCUUCGGGUUGUAAAGCCCUUUUGUUGGGAAAGAAAAGCAGCAGGUUAAUACCCCGCUGUUCUGACGGUACCCAAAGAAUAAGCACCGGCUAACUUCGUG
rnacentral:rRNA from 1 species